GACGAACGCUGGCGGCGUGCUUAACACAUGCAAGUCGAACGGAAAGGCCCUGCUUUUGUGGGGUGCUCGAGUGGCGAACGGGUGAGUAACACGUGAGUAACCUGCCCUUGACUUUGGGAUAACUUCAGGAAACUGGGGCUAAUACCGGAUAGGAGCUCCUGCUGCAUGGUGGGGGUUGGAAAGUUUCGGCGGUUGGGGAUGGACUCGCGGCUUAUCAGCUUGUUGGUGGGGUAGUGGCUUACCAAGGCUUUGACGGGUAGCCGGCCUGAGAGGGUGACCGGCCACAUUGGGACUGAGAUACGGCCCAGACUCCUACGGGAGGCAGCAGUGGGGAAUAUAGCACAAUGGGCGGAAGCCUGGUGCAGCAACGCCGCGUGCGGGAUGACGGCCUUCGGGUUGUAAACCGCUUUCGCCUGUGACGAAGCGUGAGUGACGGUAAUGGGUAAAGAAGCACCGGCUAACUACGUG
rnacentral:rRNA from 1 species